CCCCUAGAUGUUCUGGGCCGCACGCGCGCUACACUGAACAGUUCAACAAGUCUUAACCUUGGCCGAUAGGUCUGGGUAAUCUUUGAACGCUGUUCGUGAUUGGGAUAGACCUUUGCAAUUAUGGGUCUUCAACGAGGAAUUCCUAGUAAACGCAAGUCAUCAGCUUGCAUUGAUUACGUCCCUGCCCUUGUACACACCGCCCGUCGCACCUACCGAUUGAAUGGUCCGGUGAAAUCUCGGGACGGCGGCUUGGUCGCUUGCGUCCGACUGCUGAAACUUGAUUAAACCAUAUCAUUUAGAGGAAGGUGAAGUCGUAACA
rnacentral:rRNA from 1 species